rnacentral:rRNA from 1 species
UACGUAGGGUGCAAGCGUUGUCCGGAAUUAUUGGGCGUAAAGAGCUCGUAGGCGGUCUGUCGCGUCUGCUGUGAAAACUCAGGGCUUAACCCUGAGCUUGCAGUGGGUACGGGCAGACUAGAGUGCGGUAGGGGAGACUGGAAUUCCUGGUGUAGCGGUGAAAUGCGCAGAUAUCGGGAGGAACGACCGGUGGCGAAGGCGGUUCUCUGGGCCUUACCUGACGCUGAGGAGCGAAAGCGUGGGGAGCGAACAGG